AUCGCUUCUUGGCCUUUUGGCUAAGAUCAAGUGUAAAAAAAAGAGAUUUUAGUGUAAAGCCUGGUCACACUGACUUUGUUAGACUAAAUAAAUUUUAUCUUUGUUCAUGUGUUUUCUGUCCACUUAUUUAGCACUUGAAAAAAAAGUUUAGUGGGACGCGUUGGCCUGUUUUUCCUUUUAGAGAAA
ensembl:snRNA U2 U2 spliceosomal RNA